AUCCAACUGACGAGUCCCAAAUAGGGACGAAACACACGUCCUGAAU
rnacentral:hammerhead_ribozyme from 1 species